UAUGCGGGAAACGUAUUCCCCUGUGUUUUGUUUUUCGCGGCCGUGCCUGGAAUAUCGGAUAUAGCCAGUGGCGUAGGGCGAAAGGAGACCAACGUGCCUGGAGAAUUUGUGCUGCACCCCCAGAAACAGGAAGACGUCUCUGCUGACAGUGUACCGGCGCGUUCGUUAUCGUGACAUUCCUACUAAUGUAACUGUGUAACCUACGACGUAUGAAGAUAGACGGAACGCACAUUGUUGUAUAUGAUACAACGCGGCACUGCCACUAUGUGACAUCAGGAGGAUAACGGCAACAAUAACAAUAACAACAACAGCGAAGCAUCAACGACGAACACGAUAUACACGCGCUGAACACGCAACAAGCACAGCGGGCAGCCAUAUUAUUACCGUCUUUUCGCAGUCCGCGCCUCUGUUGUAGACAUAAUGGUAACCCGCACCACGGACUCGCUGCUCACCUGCCCAGUGAAGAGAGGAGAAGGAAGAAACGUGCACGUCAGGGGUAAGGAGGGAACCUGGCUAGUGGGGAGACGGCCACUUUGCCUCUUGUUACCUGUACGCUCCUGCGUUUAUUUUUCUGCUUCCUUUGCACUCUCAUUUCCUUGCUUUCCGAGCUGACGAUCAAUCUACAUAACGCUCGACCUUUUUUCAAUUUGAAUUAUUGCUCUCGAAUAUGUUCUACGAAUUGGAAAUACGUCAUCUCCGUUCGUUUAUUUUAUAUGAGAUAAGAUUGAAGUUCUACCGUUAACGGAAUAAGACUUUCUGUUUUCGCCACUGAUACAUUGUAUUAUAUAUGUACAUCUAUAUUAUUCCACAUAUAUAAAUCUUUUAUAA